rnacentral:lncRNA from 1 species
GCCAGUUUUUACACCAUUUGACCACUCUAUGAGUUGUUUGCUUAGUGCUGAUAGGCAACCACGCAAAUAGGCUGGGUGCCCCAUAUAACGACUUCUGUCGUAGCUGUAGAGACGAAGAUGAGGAGGAGACAGAAGAAAAUCUGUUCUGAUCCUGUCCGGCUCUCAGUAGAAGGAUGUUAAGAUGUCUGGGAUCACCAUUUCUAAACGACAUUUCAGAAAUGGCUACUAUAGGCCCCAGGAAGAUAUCAAACUUUGUGAGAGGAAACCCAACAACAAAACACUUGAACAUUGUACCAGAGUAGAGCGGGAUAAUUCAAACAUAAAAUCAAAUUAAAAUGGAACAAGGAUCAGGAAAUAGCGGUGGUAAGUAAUAUACAUGUUAUAUUUUAAUUGUUGUUACAAACUAACAUUAGUAUUUCUCAAUUUCGCAGAGAAGAAGAGAACAGCAGGAGCAGGGUGAAAUUGUCAUCGGAGAUGAAGGGCCUGCUGAUAGACCUGUGGCAGGAGAAUAUUGAAGAUCUAUGUGGAGCCCGAAAUUAAUUCCUACGUCUACAUGGAGAUUGCACAGGCCAUGAAGGAAGCUGGGCCCGAGAUUGGAUGGAGAGGUUCGAUGGAAAGUCGAAAACAGAUAUCCCUUCUAUUAUCUCCUCCUCGUCAAUUUUGUCCUCUUCGUCAUCAUGACAAGCAACAUUAUUAGCUUAUGCAAGAAAAUAUUCUGCUGCUGAAUAACACUCAUAACCAUUGCUAUAUUAUUAUUAUUCAUUUUAACUUUAGGAAUUCAACAAAUUUUCCCCUGCCCGAAAUUGUGAGCAUCAGUGGUUUUAUCAAGAAUGGUGGAUGGUGCCAAUUUGAACUAAAGUUUCACAUCUUUUAAAAAAUCUCAACGUUCCCCUUGGAUGGGCUCAGUGUGCAGAGCCUGUUACCUUCCGUUUCUAGGUGCUCUGCCAUUGGCAAAAUUUGAAUUGAUACGCUCAAUUUUCUCAUCGUUUCUGACAGACAAAAACAGCUGACCCGGCUACUUCAUAAAAACAUCGCGUGAAUAAAAAGUAGGUAAUACAACAUGAACAUUUUAAAUUCAAUUGUUAAUAGUUUUUUUUGGUAAAGCCUAGUACUCAGGUCGUAAAAUAGGGGUCGAAAAAAAAAUCAGGGAUGAUAUUCGUAUGGAACCGAUAAGAAAAUGUUGUGCGCACAAGCACUAACGAAAUAGUAUAGGUUGGUUGCGGACAAAAUGUUUUUUCCAAAUGUUUUCAAAAUGUUUAUUUUUUUAAAACAGGCAACUAUUAUGUAGCAAACUAUUAAAAAUUAAAUUAUGAAACAGUUAUUAUGUUUUUUCACAGUGCCUUCAAAUGAUUAAUCAGCACACUCCAUUGUCGUUGCCCUCACACUUACAGCGAGAGCCCUUUCACCCGUACUUUUCAUUUGCACGUUUGCCUAAUUUUUUCCGACGAGACCUCCUUAUAUAGUUGCUUUAUGGCAACAAUGCCGAUGAAGUUAAAAGAUAAAUGAACACCGUGCGUCUAAACUAGCUUAAGGCCAUCAAACGGCAGAAAAGGAAAC